GGCCCCUCUCUGAAGCCACAAGUGGAUAAAACCUUGUAUGCAUCAACUACCUCUCUUUCAAGAUGGAAUUUUCAGAACACAAGGUCUGGGAUUGGAGCUGGAGCUUGGAAAUAUUGAGUGGGUGAGAAAGACUUCAUUGUUUUGUGACAGAUUAUUGUGAAAACAGCCCACUUCUGCCUGAAGAUCCAAGCCCAAGGCCUUCCUGGCCCCGGGGAUUUUGGGAUUCUUAAGAGCAAAAAAAGGAAAGAAAACAUGAGAGACUUUGGUACUGGGUACGAGCAUGAAAAGAGAAGGAUUGGUAAAAAAUAUCUCUUGGGAGCUCCUGCUGUGAUGUGAGGGUUAGUCCUGCCAUCCCAAGGCAAACUUCAUAAAAGAGGUCAGAUCCAAAGAUUGCAGAAGCCAGAAGAGACACUGCAUCCUUCCUGGUUAGGCCUGGUUAUGCCGGCUUCCUGGACUCUGCUGGCUGCUUGCCUCAAUCCAUGCCUCAGGUUGGGUGGAGUCUACAGAUUGAGGGCAAAUCCCACCUCCUCCCAACCCCCACCACUAGGCCUAUCUGCAAGACAGAAAAGAGCAGCAAGACAUCUCAGGGAUUUUCUUCGAUUACUCAGAGGGAA
rnacentral:lncRNA from 1 species